GCGGCAGGCCGAGCCGCGUCACGCAGGCACGGAGCCGCCAAGGCCGAACGGAAACGCUACUCCAGCGGCGGCCGGAACCGGGACCACCAUAUUUGGCGUUUCCACCUCGCCUUUUAUGGUACUUCCGAGGCCCAAAAAAGGCGCUUCCUGCUUCCACCCUCCCGGGACUGCGCGAUGGAUUUUCCGGGAGCCCGCUGCCGUGAGAGCUGCUGCCGCCUCGGUGCGGUUCCGCCCUCGCCCCGGGGGCGACACGGCGGGUUCCUUGCGCGCGGCGGGCCCCGAAUUGGCCGCGGGAGGCUCUGGGUUUGGGCAGCGUCUGCUUCGCCCGGAGCCCAGCGGUAGGCCCGGAGCCGUUCGGACGCCCAGCGCAGGGAGCUGCGGCUGAGGGCCCCUGACCUUCCCUCGCUCCGUGUGUCGGUGCGGUUUCUUUCGUAGGGGCUUUGUCGCUUUGUGCACGUCCGCCAGAAAUAGGUACGGCGCAUUUUAACCCGAGGAAUGCUGAAGAGCCCGUUGCCCACGUUCAGCUAGGCUUUUCUUCUGUAGAGCCUUUCCAUAAGCUGCUGUUCGCUUGGCGAAGUGGGGGCGGUCCUUGCCCAGGUGGUUGUUUUGUUCUUCUUGCACUGCUCGGCCUCAGAAUCUUUCUAGAAGAAUAGAUUCUUCAGCCGCUUUCCGUUUAGGAAUAGAGGGCUAUAAGUCAGCUCUGGUGAUUCUGAAGAACCUACCUUCCCCUUGUGUGCUGUGUGGCCUGUUGCUUUGUGCCUUGUUGUGUUCUGGAAGUGCUACUAGAGAUAAAAGUUGUUAAAUACAACUGUAAAGCAAUUUUAGUUGCGGCUGUGGAUUGAAAGACAAGCACUCCGUAGUGAAUGAGUUUAGUUCUAGCACUUCUGAUGGCGGUUCUUACGUAGUCAGAAAUCUGACAAAGUUCAAGGAAACGUACAGCACAGCAGCGUUUUGGUUGAUUCUGUUGGUUAAAGGUUUCGGCUGUGGUUCUUAUUUUUGUGUAAGUAAGCUUGAGGUGGUAAGAAAUUCCAGGUGUACUCAGGUGAACUGGAAAGCUGCUAUGAGUCAUGGAAUUUAAUGGCAGAAGCUUUCUGUAAUUCUGACAUUCUUCUCAAGGACAAGGGCAUUUUGUGAACAAAACUAGGUCCCAGGAGUUGCAGCUGUGGCUGUAACAUGCCAGAGGUCUGUGGUGCCAUAAAGUGAACACACAAAGAUCUUUAUUUUUUAAAAUGUGUCAGCAUGAAAAUGGAAUAGCUAAUAAGUAAGCAAAUGUUGAUUAAAAACUUGCUAAGAAAACUGUCGUAAUUGAUCAAAAGAAAUCCAGUUUCUGGUCUGUUGUUAGAGGUAGUCCUGGAAUAUUCUUCGAGCAGUUGUGACCUGUGGUUAAUAAAUUUCACGAGCUGGAGCCUCUCUUUGUGUUUUUUGUGUAACUCUAUCCAAAUGAUUUAUGUAGUUGGCAAGGUGACAGUAUUCAUGGUAUUUGAUUGAAAAGUGAGUAUUAGCAUAUCCAGGUGCUACAAGAAGUAGAGACUUGUGUGUGCUUAAACUCUCUACUUCAUAAUGUAGUUUGAUUACUAUUAAGACUUAUUGCAGAACAUGAAGAAUAAUAUAGUUUCUGUGAUAGGGGAAACCAAGUUCUGUAGCUUCUUUGUGCUCUUUGUGGUUGAAGAAGCAUAAUCUGUUUUGUACAGUGAGUAGUUUGUACCUCCUGUCAUCCUUUCCCGUACCUUGUGUCAUUCUCCUUUAUUGUUUCUGAUAAGUAGAGGCCUGCACUAUCCACAGUAUUCAACAUGUCCCUGCUUGAGCAGGUUUGGCCAGAUGACCCCCAGAGGUUCCUUCUAACCUAAACCACUCCGUGAUUCUCUGAUGUAGGAUGAAUAUAAAUUAAUUGAAGUAUAUAUUUUUGUCUCCUAUGUUGUUUAUUACUUGCCAGGUAUUUCCAGACAUUCCAUCUGGCUUUUGAGCAGUGAUCUGAUCACUCCAGUCACUCCAGAGUGUGUGGAGACAAAGUAGUGAGAGUUGGCAGAAGUGAAGAGAGGAAAUAUGGCAACAGGUGAACCUCAAAUAACUAUUAGUGCAAUAAAUUCAAGAUUAUUGCAUGUAGAAUGGAAACCAGAGAGAAAAAAAGCCUCUGGAGAGAAGUCUUUUGCAUUAUGGGGUGUCUUGUUGUUGGAAUCCUGUGUUACAGGAAGUUGAGGCUGCCUUGUAAACUAAAGUCUUUAUGUUAAAAAAAAAAAAAAAAAAAAAAAAAAAAGUUAACAGUAAAAUAUUCCCCACUUGUAGGAUGUGUUGUGUUUAGUAGUUCUUGUAGUAGUACAGUAGGGUCUCAGGUGUUCCUUUUCUUGCUUGGAGGAAGGCACCUCUGUGAAUAUAUUUCCUUAUUGCAACAUAUUUUUAUAUGGGAAGGACAGACCAAACACCCUGCAGUUUCUGCUUUUGAAAGGCAGUGGCAGUGAAUGGGUGAAACACUAGGUGAGAGAAGGCUGUCAUUGUUAUCAUAACCAGCAGACCAAAGAGAGAGGAUGGGAUGCUCUGUCUGAAUUUGUGCAAAAUGACACAGUUGUCAUGGCAGGAGAUACAGACAGAGUACAUACUCUUUUUCUCUGAAGAUGAAGUUGCCACCAUUUCAGUCCUUAUCACAACUUUAAGAGAGAGUACUAUUGUGGUGAAACACUGUUAACAAGCUUUUAAACUUAUUUUACUGUUUAUCGCCUACCUUUGCAUGUCAAACCUCCGUAUUAUUUCACAAAAUUUAUUCUGUUGGUCAAGGGGUAAAGGACUGUGGUGUUGCUGCUUAUUGAAAGGCGUCUUGUAAGUUCCUCUUGAGCACAAUACAGAAACCACUGUGUAACAUCCCAUCUCUUGCAUCUCUGUUCUCUCUUCCUGUCUCUUUUUCAUCCAUAACGCUAAUCCAGAGCACAGUGUUUGGAGUCACUGUGGCAUACAACCAAGAGCAUUUGUGGCUGUCCAACGAGAACCUGAUUGUGAAGCUUCAGGCUUGCUGUUGAGGCUAUCUUGUUUGUCAGGAAUUCGAUUCCAGAGUGAGUUUUUUGAAGAAGCAAGUUCCAGCAGUCACUCACAUCCAGGAUGUAGUUUCUCACAGCAGAAAGCUUUCUAAGGAGAACAAGAAGCAGCUCUCUGACAUGAUGAUGCUGAACAAGCAAAAGGGAACUUGAAAGCUUUGAGGGAAGAGAAGAGGGGAGGAAAAAGCUGGAAGCCUGUCGACAUCUUUUCUACUUCCUUCAGGUAUGCAGCUUCUUGUGCUGCUCCUAGUGCACUCCUCUUGUCAUAGAGGCUUCUGUGUGUCAGCGCAGUCUUUGCAAUGCGCUGCAGCAUUGGGGCAUCACAGUUCUUUGUGGCGCUGGCCUUUGUGGACACAUGCACCAAGCAUUUUUCUUCUUGUUGUAGACUAGCCUGGUGUAGUUGGGCAAGCUGAUUUUUUCAGAUGCCUAAAAGCAAAUGCACAGAGUUCAUGGAUUUGGUCAUCUCCACGCUGUGUAACUGUGCGUCCAGUCAGAGAGAGGAAUAUCUGCUGUGUCAGCUUUCCCAAACAGCGCUGCUGGAGGAGAUCAGAUUUGAGUUGUGCCCUGGAACAGAAUGUACAGCUGAAUCUAGAACAGUUGCCAAAGAGGAGUCUGUGGGCAAAUGGUGCUGGAUUUCCCAGACGGAGGUCGUAAAGUUUCUUGCCUCCUCACAAAGUGUUCUCAUAUUUUUCUUAAAUAGCAUUGCAUGUUACUGCUGUACUGAGACUUUUAUGACAAAUCCAUUAUCUGUUUCCCAAAGGUGAUGCUGAGAAGCAUGCCUCAUGAUGACCUAUGCAUACCUCACGUUUCAUAUUAAUUCUUCCUUUGGGUCAAAAGUAGAUCAAAUCCUUGAAACGGCGCUGAAUACCUGUCCCACUGUUAUUAAAAUAGUUCACCUGUGGUGCCUGUGGUCAGAAUGCCCUGUGGCAGGUCCUGGCACCAGUUGUGAAUGAAAGAACUGAUGACAAAUUGCUUGAUAUCAUGACUGAUCCAGUGGAUAUUUACAAACCUCAGGUGACCCGGGUGGGAUCUCAGAGUGGUGAGGCCAGGUACGGUAGCUGCUACUACUGUGUUACUUAUAAGAGUUGCUUGGCUGUUUUGCAUUGCUCUUGUGAGAGGUAGAUUGUGUUUUUGCAGUAGAAGCUUCCAGUAUUUUCUGUAUGUAGUAUAGGCCUUUACUGAGAUUGCAACCCUCUUGUGAAAUAGCUGUUUUCUUUCCACUAAGUAAGUUGCUGAACAGAGUAAAAAGUUAAGAUUUGGGGCAUUCUGACUGGGGUAGAAUUGAGCCAGGCACAAGGUAAGGCAAAUAUGCAGGGUGGGGAGAGAGCCCAGCACAGGACAGAACGAAUGUGCUCACUCUUGGAAUUAUUGCCCUCCAUGGAAGAAUACAAAACGUACCCAAGAAACAACAGGUUGGUAAUGGACCUUAUCUGCAAAUGUAUCACAGCAACAGUGUUGGGGAAAUAAUGAGCCUGAGAUGCUUAAUGAGUGAGCACCAGGAGAGCAUUAUUUGCAUCGGGUUUAGAGUAUAGAACAGAAUGAAUUUCGAAGACCGGUGUGCAAUUUCUCCCUUGCCAAUAGGGUGCGCCCGUUACUGUAGUAAUGAUUAAACUGCUGCUAUCAGUAAGAUCCUUGUCUAACCUGAAAUUUUUGGCUUUCAGUGUUUCUCACAAACGUGUAACCGAAACCAAAUUUGGUUAAUUGUUCCAAGCCGUCCUGGGCUUGGCUGCAUACAUCUGUCCGAUUGAUACCAGCUUUUUUUAUCACCUCAGACGCUGGCUGAAAAAAAUUGAAUAAUAAAAAGCAUGACAACAUCAAUUUGCUGGUUAUUUAUUUAUUGACAUAUAUUCAGAAGCACAUAGUGCAGGUUCGGUGGGUUUGUCGAAGAUGUCCUUGGUUUUCUUUGUCGUUUUCCCUUCCCACCCUUUCUCUUCUGUGUUUUUCCUCUGCCGUUAAAAGACAAGCGAUCGCUGGGUGCUGUGGUGCAGAUCCACAUCAAUCCUACAGGUGAAGUUAUUUCCACGGUCUCUGCUGCCAUCGCGGGGCCAAUCGGCCAAACUGCAUCGAAGUUGUUUUUGUGGUCUGUGGUGCCCUCUCGUGGCUAAUUGCGGGAACUGCGGAUAAUUUGUUUCUGCUGUCUCUGAUGCCCCCUCGUGGCCAAUUGAAGAAACAGCGAAGAAGCUGUUUCUGCCGUCUCCGGUGCCCCCACGUGGCCACUCGAUGGAAUUGCGGCAGAGUUUGUAUGUUGUUGCAGGGAGCAGGACGCAUGCGCUUAAACACGCGGAGGUGGUGUACGUACGUUCUUGUCCCUCUGCGCAAACGAUCCGCCCAUCUCUGUUAUGCAUAGUCCUCCAGGCAGCAGUGCGCAUGCACCAGAAAGUUUUAAAUAGCAUACAUUUUCGCGAACUCCUGAGAUGCGGGCGAGCAGUCUAUUGUUGGACCGCCGACUCAGCAAUGGGUUUCUCUCUUCCAAUCCGCAGUGCACCUUGUCUGUUUUCUUGGGCGGUUUUAUUCCCGAGUCUGCUACGAGAACGGACGAUUUAGGCUCGCAGCAGGCCGUGCAUCCGUCAAAUGCCUAGCUGUGUGUCCGAAAAUGAGCAUACGUAACCAUGUGUGUGCGCUGCCGCGUGCGCAGUCCAGUGCCCAGGAAAGCGCAUGCGCACUCCGGUGCCGGGACUGGCGCGCGUGCACUCCAGUAGCAAAAAUACCGCAAGAAGAGUGCGGUGCGAAAACUGAUACGUGCGCAGUGCUGAGCCGAGGCUGGCGCAUGCUUAGUAGGGAGCUAACGUACUGAGGUGCCCAGUGGGUCGCAUGCGCAGUGCAGUGCCGAGACUGGCGCAUGUGCAAUCCCGAGCGGACUACGACGCAUGGACAUUGCGGGACCGCGGAUGGCACAAGCACGGCGCGGAACCACGGCUGGCGCAUGCGCAGUGCGGUGCAAAGGCUGGUACGUGUGCAGUGCAAGAAGGUGGCGCAUGUGCAGUGCGGUGCGAUGAAAGGCGCAUGCGCAAUGUGAUUCAGAGACAAACGCAUGCGCAAUGCCAUGAGAAUGCCGGCGCAUGCGCAGCGCUCCAACGCGCUUCUCGCAUGCACAGUACGGUAUAAAAGAUGGCGCAUGCAUUGUCUGGUCCCGACUUUCGCGCAUGUGCAUUGUUGUGCCCAGGAUAGCGCAUGCGCACUGAGUUACGUACUUCCGCAUGCGUAGUACUGUGAAAAGGACGGCGCAUGCGUUUUGAGGACCCACUGCAGCGCAGUGCAGUGGGCUGGCAUGCGCAAUUGCAAUGCCGAAGCUAGCGCAUGCGCACUGCGGGGUCGAGAGUGGCGCACGCACCGUGCUGGGCAGAAUCCAGCGCAUGCGUAGUGCUUUUUCUUUUUUUAAGACAGGCGCAUGCGUGGCACUAUGUCGUGUCGCAUGCGCAGUGCGUAUAGAGUCUGCUCAUGCGCAGUGCGGGACCGACCCAGGCGAAUGCGUAAUGCUUUCUCGUGAAUCACGCGUGCGUACUGUUGUCUGGGGAAUUGCACCUGCGCGGUGCGGCACAGAGGCUGCCGCAUGCGCAGUGCAGUUUCUAGAUUCAUACGUGCGUUUAACUAUCCCGAGACUUGCUUUUAUAAGAGUGCAGCACGCCAGUGCCGCGACGGCGAAUGUCCGAGCUGCUCGCGUUCCAUUGUCGCUGACAGUGCUUGUAAACGGCUGGGGGAUGGUGCAGGGCUUGGGGUGGAAGGGGACGUCUGCGAUUCUACUGAGACAGCGAGCAAAUUGGAUGCCACGAGGUGCUGAGGGCAGCUGUGAGUCAAACCCGUCCGCUCCCGAGUGGGCUCGGGCAUAAAUCGGCGGAAACAGACGAGGGGCAUCCUGGAUUAGAAGGGGAGAAUAUCGCUGAGCCGGCGGUCCGAGAAUCGACUGCUUGCCCGUCCCCGUAGUGUGACUUCAGCAAUCCCCUGUUGUGCCGCAGCAGAAAUGGGGUACUGCAGUACGUCAGUGAUCUCUGACUCGAGGAGUGCAGGGGCUGCACGAAGUACGCACUCUACAGCCUCCCUAUUUCUCUGGGAUUUGGGAUUGAUGUUUGAGCCAAAAGGCUACACAGUGCCAUGUGGGCAGGUGCCAGGUUCACCCACUGAGGAACCAAAUCCUAAAAUAAUUUCACAAUGGUCUUUAAUUGCUGUGCAAGUAGAUGACACAGAUUUCUCACAGGGGAGCCAUUAGCUGACACUGGCAGUUUGGCAGACAGCAUUCGCUCCAUUCACACCGGUAAUCUCAGCCCCCUCAGAAGUUGCACAUGCAGCUUCUCAGCAUCUUGCUGUAUCAGUAUAGAAAUCUGUGCUCCCCUAUUUAUUAGAAAUGCCACCAAUUGCCAUUGAGGACAGACUGGAAUCAAAACAUGUGGACCAUCCUAGCUUGUCCAUUGAUACCCCCCCCCCGGCCAGACAGGCAGACCCAAUUGGCUGCCAGUCAUUACUUCAUCCCCCUUUUUUUUUUUUUUUCAUGCUUUUAUGGGAACUUUGAGAUCACAGCCGAAAGCAGUGAUGGAGAACCUGGUGUGGGGUGUAGCCCUGCAAGCACAGGUGGAAGCAAUGCACCUAGAGGACCAGAUGAGGCUGAGCCUGGCUCCAGCCCCUCCCUCUCCUCAUUUAAAGGCUGGCAGCUCUUAAAGGCUGGGUUUCUUCCUGGAGACUGCCUCCUGUGGAUUGUUGGGUAAGCUCUGGUUCUUGGAAAGAGCUAGCUCUGCAGCUAUGGGACCCACCAGUGUGAUGAAGCAGUACCUCUGGUGUGCUGAAUACUGGCACUGGCACAGAGAGGCUCUAUGGCUGAUGUGAAUCUUCCUGACUGGACUACUUGGUGAGUUUCCCCAGAGCUGUUGAGCACACAGGCUUCCCCACCUACCCUGACUGCUCACCAGGCCAUCGGAUGUCAUUUGUGGGCAUGGCUUCAGGUAUCAUACCAGAGACUCCUUAGAGUCACAGAAUGUCCCGGGUUGGAAGGGACCUCGAGGAUCGUGAAUCUCCAACCCCCCUGCUACGUGCAGGGCC